rnacentral:rRNA from 1 species
UACGUAGGGUGCGAGCGUUGUCCGGAAUUAUUGGGCGUAAAGAGCUCGUAGGCGGCUUGUUGCGUCUGCUGUGAAAUCCCGGGGCUUAACCCCGGGCAUGCAGUGGAUACGGGCAGGCUGGAGGCAGGCAGGGGAGAAUGGAAUUCCCGGUGUAGCGGUGAAAUGCGCAGAUAUCGGGAGGAACACCGGUGGCGAAGGCGGUUCUCUGGGCCUGUUCUGACGCUGAGGAGCGAAAGCGUGGGGAGCGAACAGG